GCCUUUAUAGCUCAGUUGGGAGAGCGUCAGACUGAAGAUCUGAAGGUCCCUGGUUCGAUCCCGGGUGAAGGCA
rfam:Angomonas deanei Cont13198, whole genome shotgun sequence.